UACGAAGGGUGCAAACGUUGCUCGGAAUCAUUGGGCGUAAAGCGCACGUAGGCGGCUUCGCAAGUCGGAUGUGAAAUCCCGUGGCUCAACCAUGGACGUGCAUCCGAAACUGCGAGGCUUGAGUAUGGAAGAGGGUCGCGGAAUUCCCGGUGUAGAGGUGAAAUUCGUAGAUAUUCGCAAGAACACCAGUGGCGAAGGCGGCUCACUGGCCCGGUACUGACGCUGAGGUGCGAAAGCGUGGGGAGCAAACAGG
rnacentral:rRNA from 1 species